GGGAAGUUCAAGCGAGUCAUAUCAGGAAGCUCACAAAGAGCCAAUUAACAGGAAGUUCACAAAGAGCCAUAUUACAGGGAAGCUUAUAAGAGCUAAGGUGUGUUCACAACACAUGUAGGGUAAAAACCUAUCCGGACACUCCGAAGAGCUAUAACGAGAAGCUCGCAAGAACCAUCAUACGGGAAGCUCAGGAGAGAUAAUAACGGGAC
rnacentral:lncRNA from 1 species